AGAGAGAGACAUGCGCGCAUAUCAAUAAGCGGAGGAAAAGAAACUAACAAGGAUUCCCUUAGUAACGGCGAGUGAAGCGGGAAGAGCUCAAAUUUGAAAUCUUCAAGGUUUUACCUUGACGAAUUGUAGUUUAAAGAAGUGUUUUCUGCUGAAGUUUUGGUAAAAGUUCUUUGGAAUAGGACAUCAUAGAGGGUGAGAAUCCCGUAUUUGACCAUUAUUUUCAGCUUUGUGAUACACUUUCAAAGAGUCGGAUUGUUUGGGAAUGCAGUCCAAAAUGGGUGGUAAAUUUCAUCUAAAGCUAAAUAUUGGCGAGAGACCGAUAGCGAACAAGUACCGUGAGGGAAAGAUGAAAAGAACUUUGAAAAGAGAGUUAAACAGUACGUGAAAUUGUCAAAAGGGAAGCGUUUGACACCAGUGUUGUUUUCUCGAAAAUCAAUUAAAAAUGGCUUAGAUUUUGUAUUGUAUUGAGACCUUAAUAAGCUUCACUGCUACAUCUUUUCGUGUCUUUUUUAAUGCACUUUUCGUUUAACAAGUCAACAUCAGUUUCUUUUGUUGUAAAAGGGUCAUUGGAAGGUGGCUUUCUUUUCGGAGAAAGUGUUUAUAGCCUUUGGCCUCUGCAAUCGGAGAGACUGAGGUCUGCAGCGUAGACUCUUCGGGGUUAGAUACAUUUGUGCUAAGUUAUAGCUUUUUAUAGACAACUUGUUGACUAUAAUUAGUCUUGUAGCUUACUCGCUUAUGCUAUUUUACCUACGCUUAGGAUGUUGAAGAUGUAGCACAUCAU
rnacentral:rRNA from 1 species